rnacentral:rRNA from 1 species
GAAUGAACGUUGGCGGCGUGGAUUAGGCAUGCAAGUCGAGCGGUAAGGCCCUUUCGGGGGUACGACGAGCGGCGAACGGGUGAGUAACACGUGGGUGACCUGCCCUCCAGCUCUGGGAUAAAGCCUGGGAAACUAGGGUCUAAUACUGGAUAUGACUCCACGGUGCAUGUCGUGGGGUGGAAAGCCUUGUGCGGCUGAGGAUGGGCCCGCGGCCUAUCAGCUUGUUGGUGGGGUGAUGGCCUACCAAGGCGACGACGGGUAGCCGGCCUGAGAGGGCGACCGGCCACACUGGGACUGAGACACGGCCCAGACUCCUACGGGAGGGCAGCAGUGGGGGAAGUCUUUGCGCAAUGGGCGAAAGACCUGACGCAGCGACGCCGCGUGAGGG